rnacentral:rRNA from 1 species
UACGGGGGGGGCAAGCGUUGCUCGGAAUUACUGGGCGUAAAGCGCACGUAGGCGGAUCUUUAAGUCAGGGGUGAAAUCCUGGAGCUCAACUCCAGAACUGCCUUUGAUACUGAGGACCUUGAGUUCGGGAGAGGUGAGUGGAACUGCGAGUGUAGAGGUGAAAUUCGUAGAUAUUCGCAAGAACACCAGUGGCGAAGGCGGCUCACUGGCCCGAUACUGACGCUGAGGUGCGAAAGCGUGGGGAGCAA